UAAUGUGAGAGACUUAGAAAAAGA
rnacentral:piRNA from 1 species